GAAGGGUUUCCUGGGCCCUGCCCUGGUGAUAGCUUCCUGCUGAAGAGCAAUGGAGAAUUUUUAUCUCCGUCCAACUCAUUUGUUCAAUGUGGAGAUCGUAACGGAAACACCCUUUAAAUCCAGGUGGACUGCCUGGGUAGGAAGACUAGGAACUAGUAAAGCUUCACUCAACAGAAGAUAACAGAAAAUUAUAAUCAAUCAGAGCAUCUGCUACCAAGGACUUCUGGCCUCCAGGACCUAGACCCCUAGAGGCGGUGAGCCUUACCUUGGCUCUCGGCAUCUCUGACACUCCCAUUCCUUGGAGAGAGCACUCCACACCCUCUACCUUGCCUAUUAUCUGGCUUCAUCAUGGCCCUGACUGAUGGGAACAACCUGGCCUCCUAGUUGCCUCCGACUCCAUAUAUCUGCCUCCCACCCUGCUCCUGCUCGUGGUUGAGCUGUGUGACUGAUGUGGAGAAAAGAGUUUGAAAACCCCCAAAGGGAUGCUCACCUGCCCAGAAGUUGUGAGGAAUAAGAUGGUUCCUAGGCGGAGACUCAGUUGCAGAGGGGCAUGAAUGACAUUCGUACUUGGUUCUAGAAGAAGGGGAAAGCCUGUGUAGUCCUUAAGAAGAGUCAUCAGCUGGGAACGUGGGCUGGGAAUGAGAAUGAGGGUGGAUCUGGCUACGAAGAAGCAGCAGGAGGAUGAGUGGUUAUCCAGCAAGGGCCCAGGCUGGCAUGAGAGCAGGGUGACAGUACACAUGCUACAAAGAAUCUUGUCGUCAGAUUGGCUCUGAGGGCUGAAGGCAAGGGAAGAGGCGAUGGCACAUUGACCAAGAGUUGUCCAUCCUGACAAUAGGCUACUCUAAUGUUCCUUCCAACUGGGGACUUGGACUGAUACGAGAGUGAAGUCUAUUA